rnacentral:misc_RNA from 1 species
AAGUCAUAACAAGGUUUCCGUAGGUGAACCUGCGGAAGGAUCAUUAAUAAUGCCCUCUGGCUUCGGUCAGCUGGGUUCAAUGUGUGUCAACUCUUCGGAGUUGGCCAUCCACACACACCGUGAACUGUGGCUUCGGCCAUCACAAACUAUUAGUAAUGAAUGUAAAAUCAUAACAAAAUAAAACUUUUAACAACGGAUCUCUUGGCUCUC